AUCUCCUAAAACCAAAACCCUAUCUUCCACAUUAAAGGGACUGCUCAGCUCCAUCUGCUCCAUUUCCUUCCACCUCACACUCCGCCUCUCAUUCAUGGCUUGCUCAGCACCAUCUGCUUCUCUCCUAUCUCCAAACGCUAACACACUCCUCUCUCCCAACUUCUCUUCUCCGCGUCUCUCUUCUCUCUCCAUCCCCAACGUCUCCAAUUCUCUCCCCAAACUACGUACCUCCUUCCCUCUAUCCCUCAACCGCUCCUCCUCCUCUCACUGCAGUUUCGCCGUUAGGGCUUCUUGAAUCAGGCUAUUUUUUCUCGUCUGAGUUUCUAUGAUGGCGUGUCUCCAGUACUCAAUGUUGAUGGUAUUCUAAGUAGCAAAACUCCACCAAGGCUCUGGUUGAACUUCUAGUACGAAGAGUUUUAUAACCAACACGGUGUAAAGCUGGUUGAUAAAGUAAUAGAAAUGUUGAGACUUUAUACUAUAGACUUUGUUUCAUCUCCUGAGGUAGGUUUCUUAAGAAGCAUCAAUGGAAAAGUUAGGACGAAAACAAAGUUCGUUUUUCAAUUUCUUAACACGAGUGAUGUCGAACCAACAAUGAAUCAACCAUAUGACACCAUUGUGAAGGAUCUUGAAGCAAUCAAGUCAUAUGCAUCUGGUAUAAUGGUUCCAAAAGAAUACAUAUGGCCAGUAGUUAGACCUAUUACAUUCUGAAUUGAUCGUAUAGUCUUUAUGAUUUCUUAACAGAUAACCAGUAGAACAAGCCCCUUUCAAAUCUCACAUACAGGUACCAGACUACUCUAACUAAUAUACUAUCAAGUGUUUUAUGAUGACUUGGAUUGAUAAUAUAUACCAGAAGUUUGAGAAUAUGAUCCAGGAGGUUGAAGAUACAAUGUUGGAGGUGUGCAUUUGUUGCUAGUUAUACUUAUCCUAUCAUGUGCUUCUCUUAGAAAGUGUUGUCAAAUAGCAGCUAUCGCAACUAUGUAGCGAUGUUGAAAACCGAAAUUUGAAUUUGUGAUAUGUUCUUUAGUACAAAGUUUUGUCAAAUAGAUGCUAUAUUGACGUUUUUUUAUGAAUAGACAAAUGUUAGUAUAUUAGUUGUUAUGUUAGUAUUUUUUGUUCAUCAGGGUUUGAGUUUUUGAUAUCUCAUAUGUGUUAGAAUUCUUAUUACAACUUAUAAAUUUGCUUUUCGAUUACGUUAACAUUCUGUUAUAAUUGUUUUCUUUUGUUUUUUUGACAAUAGGAAUUUCAAUACCUAGAGAAUCAAAUGAGUAUUGCUGGAGAAAGUGUUAAGAAAUUAUAUUCAACUGCCAUGGAAGAUUUGCUUCCUCCGUCUACAACCUCGGCUCUUGUGUUGCCUAUGGGUCACUAUGCUGGUAUAUCAGAGAAGUCGAUUCAACGUACCAAGAAACUAAGCGGUACAUUAUGAAUGGUGAUUGAUGCCCUAUUAUAUUUUACUUGGGUAACAAUUGCAAUUUGAAUUUGGCUCGGCUGAAUCUCUGUUAGAGUUGUUCCUUUGCAAGUUGAAUUUAGUUCCAUGAUGUUGUAUAUUUUAUUGUUGAAUAGUAGCUUGUGCUAGUAUGUCAUGUUGGUUAUGGGUGAAUUAAUUAAUAUAAGAAAAACCAUAAUAGGAGAAAAGGGAUAGAAGCAAGAAAGACACUACUUUUUAUGAUAAAGAAAAAAACAUGUAGUAUAAGUUUGGAGUGUAGUGUAUAGUGAAUCAAAAAACAAUGGCUUAAACAAUAAUAAUUGUCUAAAUGUCUAUUCAUGACUUAGUUAUUUCCUUUAGUAAUUAUUAUAUGGUCAAAUAAAUAUAGUUUGAAAAAUGCUAGUUUAAUUGCAUGCUAGCAUAGGUGAUGAUAAUAAUUGAGAUAUGUUUUUUCGUUUAAAGAGAUGAGAAAGUCAUAUAUGUUGUAGUGUAAAUAUUUAAAUUGUCUAAAAUCUAGUUUAGUUUAGUAUAAUAAACAUUACAAUUAGUUUAGCUUAAUAUAACACAUGUUUUGGUGCUGUGUACAUGUGUUAUAUUUCUAAAAUGGUGAAGAUUCUAAGAGAGUAAAUUGCAAGAUAGAUAUAAAACAAGUGUAUGUGUUUCUCAAUCUGUUAGAUUACACACAUAAACACAACAUUUUGUUAAUGGAAUUGCCUUUUUCUUAGCAGAUACAAUUGUUGGGCACUGUCAUGGAGAAAUAUAGAGGAAUUGCAAAAUUAAUGAUGGAUCAACUGGACCUCACAAACCAAGAGGAUUACAAAAGUAAAUCUAGGCAUACUAGGUUGUUUUAAGAUUUGUUAUGGAAAGUGGUGCCAAGGGAUGUGAGGAUAGUUCUACCAAACAGCUUGAAUCCAAAAAUGGGAAAUCCUCGUCGAGAUGAAAAACCAGCUCCAUAUGCACGUGAAGCAAAGGAAUUCUUGAGAACGCGCAUGCUCCUGUUGCUUCUACUAGUCACCAAACUAGGUUGAAUGUCGGCGAAUUGAUAAUUGAUAAUUAAGUGUGGUUAUAAAAAUUAAUGAUGCACUCUACAAGGCUUCAUGUUUGUAAAUAUUUUUAUGAGGAUAUCAAUUUCGUUUUGAUGUAUAUCUGCUCAA